rnacentral:rRNA from 1 species
UACGUGUCAUGUUGCGUUAUUGCGGCGAGUGAGCGGCAAAAGCUCAAAUUUGAAAUCUGGUACCUUCGGUGCCCGAGUUGUAAUUUGGAGAGGGCAACUUUGGGGCCGUUCCUUGUCUAUGUUCCUUGGAACAGGACGUCAUAGAGGGUGAGAAUCCCGUGUGGCGAGGAGUGCGGUUCUUUGUAAAGUGCCUUCGAAGAGUCGAGUUGUUUGGGAAUGCAGCUCUAAGUGGGUGGUAAAUUCCAUCUAAAGCUAAAUAUUGGCGAGAGACCGAUAGCGAACAAGUACAGUGAUGGAAAGAUGAAAAGAACUUUGAAAAGAGAGUGAAAAAGUACGUGAAAUUGUUGAAAGGGAAGGGCAUUUGAUCAGACAUGGUGUUUUGUGCCCUCUGCUCCUUGUGGGUAGGGGAAUCUCGCAUUUCACUGGGCCAGCAUCAGUUUUGGUGGCAGGAUAAAUCCAUAGGAAUGUAGCUUGCCUCGGUAAGUAUUAUAGCCUGUGGGAAUACUGCCAGCUGGGACUGAGGACUGCGACGUAAGUCAAGGAUGCUGGCAUAAUGGUUAUAUGCCGCCCGUCUUGAA